rnacentral:rRNA from 1 species
UGGGGAAUUUUGGACAAUGGGGGAAACCCUGAUCCAGCCAUCCCGCGUGUGCGAUGAAGGCCUUCGGGUUGUAAAGCACUUUUGGCAGGAAAGAAACGUCAUGGGUUAAUACCCCGUGAAACUGACGGUACCUGCAGAAUAAGCACCGGCUAACUACGUGCCAGCAGCCGCGGUAAUACGUAGGGUGCAAGCGUUAAUCGGAAUUACUGGGCGUAAAGCGUGCGCAGGCGGUUCGGAAAGAAAGAUGUGAAAUCCCAGAGCUCAACUUUGGAACUGCAUUUUUAACUACCGGGCUAGUGUGUCAGAGGGAGGUGGAAUUCCGCGUGUAGCAGUGAAAUGCGUAGAUAUGCGGAGGAACACCGAUGGCGAAGGCAGCCUCCUGGGAUAACACUGACGCUCAUGCACGAAAGCGUGGGGAGCAAACAGG